rnacentral:rRNA from 1 species
AUUGAAUGCUGGCGGCAGGCCUAACACAUGCAAGUCGAACGAGUGGCGGACGGGUGAGUAAUGUCUGGGAAACUGCCUGAUGGAGGGGGAUAACUACUGGAAACGGUAGCUAAUACCGCAUACCAUCGGAUGUGCCCCGCUGGGAUUAGCUAGUAGGUGGGGUAAAGGCUCACCUAGGCGAAGAUCCCUAGCGGGGCUGAGAGGAUGACCAGCCACACUGGAACGGAGACCCGGUCCAGACUCCGACGGGAGGCAGCAUUGGGUAAUAUUGCACAAUGGGCGCAAGCCUGAUGCAGCCAUGCCGCGUGUAUGAAGAAGGCCUUCGGGUUGUAAAGUACUUUCAGCGGGGAGGCGUGACCCGCAGAAGAAGCACCGGCUAACUCCGUGCCAGCAGCCGCGGUAAUAC